rnacentral:SRP_RNA from 1 species
GUUGGGCACGGUCCCGCGUGUCUGUAAUCCCAGCUACUCAGGAGACUGAGGCAGGAGAAUCGCUUGAACCUAGGAGGUGGAGGUUGCAGUGAGCUGGGAUUGUGCCACUGCACUCUAGCCUGGGUGACAAAGCAAGACUCUGUCUCAA